rnacentral:rRNA from 1 species
GGGGAAUUGUUCACAAUGGGCGCAAGCCUGAUGGAGCGACGCCGCGUGGGGGAUGAAGGGCUUCGGCUCGUAAACCCCUGUCAUUUGCGAACAAACCUCAGAUGUGAAUAGCAUUUGAGCUGAUUGUAGCGAAAGAGGAAGGGCCGGCUAACUCUGUGCCAGCAGCCGCGGUAAUACAGAGGUCCCGAGCGUUGUUCGGAUUCACUGGGCGUAAAGGGUGCGUAGGUGGUGGGGUAAGUCUCGUGUGAAAGCUCGCAGCUUAACUGCGAAAAGUCACGGGAUACUAUUCUGCUGAGGCUUGGAGGGGGGACUGGAAUACUUGGUGUAGCAGUGAAAUGCGUAGAUAUCAAGUGGAACACCAGUGGCGAAGGCGAGUCCCUGGACAAGACCUGACACUGAGGCACGAAAGCCAGGGGAGCAAA